rnacentral:rRNA from 1 species
CCUACGGGAGGCUGCAGUGGGGAAUAUUGCACAAUGGGGGAAACCCUGAUGCAGCGACGCCGCGUGAGUGAAGAAGUAUUUCGGUAUGUAAAGCUCUAUCAGCAGGGAAGAAAAUGACGGUACCUGAUUAAGAAGCCCCGGCUAACUACGUGCCAGCAGCCGCGGUAAUACGUAGGGGGCAAGCGUUAUCCGGAUUUACUGGGUGUAAAGGGAGCGUAGACGGCAGCACAAGUCUGGAGUGAAAUGGCGGGGCUUAACCCCGGGACUGCUUUGGAAACUGUGCAGCUUGAGUGCAGGAGAGGUAAGUGGAAUUCCUAGUGUAGCGGUGAAAUGCGUAGAUAUUAGGAGGAACACCAGUGGCGAAGGCGGCUUACUGGACUGUAACUGACGUUGAGGCUCGAAAGCGUGGGGAGCAAACAGGAUUAGAUACCCGUGUAGUC